GCAUUAUUCCUCAGAGCUGUACUCAGGAAUGGUAAACAGUAAUUCACUGGAGUGGUGAAAAAAAAUAUAUAUAUAUAUAUACAAGGUGCUUGAGUAUCUACUGAAAUGACUUCAAAAUGCAUAAAUAGGUGACGUUGUGCCUCGAAAGUUAUUUUCCAUAUAUUGAAUAUGAACAGAUAAUUCAGCAAACACUUCCCCACGCACAUACACAUAUAUACAUAUGCAUAUCUUGGAAAGAAUGAAGGCUGCUUCCCCAGAAAAUGCAUAAAAUCAAAAUGAUCUCAGACAUGGUAACCUAUCUAAUUGAUGACAAACCAGCCUUCAGGAACCACAACCAAAUCCUGGUCCUGAGUUUGAAAGCAGGCCAUUGGGAUGUUUCUAAGGUUACCCUUCAAAUGCUGUUAAGAUUUGGUAACCUCAGAGUAUAUGUCAGUCAUCCCUCAAGUGUGCACAAUUGUCUGCACAUACAUGCAUUCCCUGUCCUACCAACCAGCCAAAAUUAAUGGAAAUCCUUGGAAUGGAAAGAGGACCUUAAAUAGGGCAUGGCUAUUGUACCUCAUUGUUAGGUAUCACACUAUUUUAUUAGACAUUCAUCUUUCAUCCUUGUUCAGCUCCAGUAAUAAUGUGUCAUCUAAGAUUCCCGACUCUUAAUUAGAAGUCAUACUGCUAUUCUUUACCUCGCUCUGCUAUGCCCUGCUGUGACUUUUCUGUCAGCCUGCUCUUCCCUGUGAUAUGAAACAAGGUGGGGUAGCAUAGGGGUUAAUGCGAUUAUUUACAUUUGAUAAUACCGAGUAUAGCAGUGAAUUAAUACAACAGUUUGCAGCAUUUUGGAGCUAAAAAGAAAUUAGAUGCUGCCUCAUUACUGAUUUUCUAACUGAAGUGUGCUACAUUUAACCUUUAAACUUUAUGCUGCUUGCACAAUUCCAACAUCACAGGAUUUUUCUGGAGAAGAAUGUGCAAUUAGACAGGACUUGGAGGGACUGAGAGAUGAGGGACAUAAAAAAAAUAUUCCCUUAGAGAUUUAUUUGUAAAUUUCAUGGCUUGUUUAUGGAAUCAGACAUAUAAAAUUGUCCACCUUUAUAUUUUAUAUAUAUUUUAAUUUUGCAUUCCUCCAACAUGGUCACACUACAAAGCCAAGGAAAUAAUAAUGUAUAGUUACCCUUUUGAAAUAACUGCAAGUGUUAAGUGCUGAGGACUAUCUUAAUGGAGAGCCCAGACCUACUGAAGUAAGAGGGAAAAUUGGACUGAUUUGCAGGAGGCCAGAAUGCCACCCACAGUGGUGCCUGAUUGCUGGAAAAUGCUGGGUUCCUGCUGUCUGAAAAAUCGCUGCCAUCUCUGAUAUCCAACAUUGGACAGCUGAAAGUUUCAGAGAAGAGGCAGACAGCUGGUGGAGCUGCAGAUGUAAGGAUGUUUUCCCAUUUAAAUAUCUUAAGCAGUUAACUUCACAAGGAAGACGACCAGCUAUCUUAAUCUUUAAAUGUUGUGUGGAGAUUUUUACUUCAACAAGUACAGCGCCUCUGAGAAAGAAGAAAAUACUCCUCUUAAGGAGCUGCCUGGUGUUAACACCCCAUGGAAAGAGAAUCUGAUCUGCUGGCAGAUUCAAUGAAGCUUGAGAGUCAUAGGCUGAACACCUCAGGUCAGGUAUGAAUGUAAGGGACCAGCUUUUUCAACAUCUGACACCUCCCAUUGAAGACAACAUUUGGUAAGUGUGUGACACUUGAUUUGUAUGUCCACUCAGAAUCUUCGGCACAACAUACUUAUCCUUCUGUUUGCAAAAUGAUGUAUUUACCAGGCUGUUUGGAUCAAACAUUAAGUC